UACGUAGGGAGCAAGCGUUGUCCGGAAUGAUUGGGCGUAAAGCGCGUGUAGGCGGCCCGGUAAGUCCGCUGUGAAAGUCGGGGGGCUCAACCCUCGAAUGCCGGUGGAUACUGUCGGGCUAGAGUGCGGGAGAGGCGAGUGGAAUCCUGGUGUAGCGGUGAAAUGCGCAGAUAUCAGGAGGAACACCAAUUGCGAAGGCAGCUCGCUGGAACGUAACUGACGCUGGAGAACGCGAAAGCCGUGGGGAGCAAACAGG
rnacentral:rRNA from 1 species